rnacentral:lncRNA from 1 species
CAGAGGUCUGGGGCUGUGAUUGUUUCCAAGUUUCUGAACACCUAAGGCAAAACGUUAAGUGUCCAAGGGAGCAAUGGCUGGCCACGAAGCAGAGGAGAUGCGAGAUAUCCUUCGACUGAACGUGGGCGGCUGCAUUUACACAGCUCGGCGAGAGUCUUUGUGCCGCUUUAAGGACUCUAUGCUGGCAUCUAUGUUUAGCGGUCGUUUCCCUCUCAAAACAGAUGAAUCUGGGGCGUGUAUUAUUGACCGUGAUGGACAUCUAUUCAAAUACAUUUUGGACUACCUCCAUGGGGAGGUUCAGACCCCCUCGGACGAGCAGACCCGAACCGCCCUGCAGGAAGAGGCUGACUACUUUGGCAUCCCUUACCCAUACAGCCUGUCUGACCACUUGGCCAAUGAGAUGGAGACAUAUUCUUUAAGGCUUUAACAGACUUCUGUGAUUCCUAUGGCUUAGUUUGCAAUAAACCAACAGUUUGGGUCCUCCACUAUCUUAACACAUCUGGUGCAAGCUGUGAAAGUAGAAUUAUUGGCGUCUAUUCUACAAAAACUGAUGGGACAGAUGCCAUUGAUAAGCAGCUGGGAGGAAGAAUUCAUAGUAAAAGCAUUUUCAAAAGGUAUGUUCAAAAUUAAAUGUGAAAAAGUACAAAAGAGAGGAUUGUAUCUUUUAACAAUUUUAAACAUUGUUAUUGAAUGAAAUACUGUGCUGAACUACAAGAGGCUGCGAUCAUGGAUCAGUGGACAGAGCCCUCAGAGUUGUGGGAUGGCUGCUUCAGGCCUUUGUACAGAGAUAUCAGUCCUGGGCCUUUUGCAGGAU